rnacentral:tRNA from 1 species
GCGGGAAUAGCUCAGUUGGUAGUGCACGUCCUUGCCAAGGUCGGGGUCGCGAGUUCGAGUCUCGUUUCCCUCUCCA